rnacentral:rRNA from 1 species
GGUUAAGCGACUAAGCGUACACGGUGGAUGCCCUGGCAGUCAGAGGCGAUGAAGGACGUGCUAAUCUGCGAUAAGCGUCGGUAAGGUGAUAUGAACCGUUAUAACCGGCGAUUUCCGAAUGGGGAAACCCAGUGUGUUUCGACACACUAUCAUUAACUGAAUCCAUAGGUUAAUGAGGCGAACCGGGGGAACUGAAACAUCUAAGUACCCCGAGGAAAAGAAAUCAACCGAGAUUCCCCCAGUAGCGGCGAGCGAACGGGGAGCAGCCCAGAGCCUGAAUCAGUGUGUGUGUUAGUGGAAGCGUCUGGAAAGGCGCGCGAUACAGGGUGACAGCCCCGUACACAAAAAUGCACAUGCUGUGAGCUCGAUGAGUAGGGCGGGACACGUGGUAUCCUGUCUGAAUAUGGGGGGACCAUCCUCCAAGGCUAAAUACUCCUGACUGACCGAUAGUGAACCAGUACCGUGAGGGAAAGGCGAAAAGAACCCCGGCGAGGGGAGUGAAAAAGAACCUGAAACCGUGUACGUACAAGCAGUGGGAGCACGCUUAGGCGUGUGACUGCGUACCUUUUGUAUAAUGGGUCAGCGACUUAUAUUCUGUAGCAAGGUUAACCGAAUAGGGGAGCCGAAGGGAAACCGAGUCUUAACUGGGCGUUAAGUUGCAGGGUAUAGACCCGAAACCCGGUGAUCUAGCCAUGGGCAGGUUGAAGGUUGGGUAACACUAACUGGAGGACCGAACCGACUAAUGUUGAAAAAUUAGCGGAUGACUUGUGGCUGGGGGUGAAAGGCCAAUCAAACCGGGAGAUAGCUGGUUCUCCCCGAAAGCUAUUUAGGUAGCGCCUCGUGAAUUCAUCUCCGGGGGUAGAGCACUGUUUCGGCAAGGGGGUCAUCCCGACUUACCAACCCGAUGCAAACUGCGAAUACCGGAGAAUGUUAUCACGGGAGACACACGGCGGGUGCUAACGUCCGUCGUGAAGAGGGAAACAACCCAGACCGCCAGCUAAGGUCCCAAAGUCAUGGUUAAGUGGGAAACGAUGUGGGAAGGCCCAGACAGCCAGGAUGUUGGCUUAGAAGCAGCCAUCAUUUAAAGAAAGCGUAAUAGCUCACUGGUCGAGUCGGCCUGCGCGGAAGAUGUAACGGGGCUAAACCAUGCACCGAAGCUGCGGCAGCGACGCUUAUGCGUUGUUGGGUAGGGGAGCGUUCUGUAAGCCUGUGAAGGUGUGCUGUGAGGCAUGCUGGAGGUAUCAGAAGUGCGAAUGCUGACAUAAGUAACGAUAAAGCGGGUGAAAAGCCCGCUCGCCGGAAGACCAAGGGUUCCUGUCCAACGUUAAUCGGGGCAGGGUGAGUCGACCCCUAAGGCGAGGCCGAAAGGCGUAGUCGAUGGGAAACAGGUUAAUAUUCCUGUACUUGGUGUUACUGCGAAGGGGGGACGGAGAAGGCUAUGUUGGCCGGGCGACGGUUGUCCCGGUUUAAGCGUGUAGGCUGGUUUUCCAGGCAAAUCCGGAAAAUCAAGGCUGAGGCGUGAUGACGAGGCACUACGGUGCUGAAGCAACAAAUGCCCUGCUUCCAGGAAAAGCCUCUAAGCAUCAGGUAACAUCAAAUCGUACCCCAAACCGACACAGGUGGUCAGGUAGAGAAUACCAAGGCGCUUGAGAGAACUCGGGUGAAGGAACUAGGCAAAAUGGUGCCGUAACUUCGGGAGAAGGCACGCUGAUAUGUAGGUGAAGUCCCUCGCGGAUGGAGCUGAAAUCAGUCGAAGAUACCAGCUGGCUGCAACUGUUUAUUAAAAACACAGCACUGUGCAAACACGAAAGUGGACGUAUACGGUGUGACGCCUGCCCGGUGCCGGAAGGUUAAUUGAUGGGGUCAGCGCAAGCGAAGCUCUUGAUCGAAGCCCCGGUAAACGGCGGCCGUAACUAUAACGGUCCUAAGGUAGCGAAAUUCCUUGUCGGGUAAGUUCCGACCUGCACGAAUGGCGUAAUGAUGGCCAGGCUGUCUCCACCCGAGACUCAGUGAAAUUGAACUCGCUGUGAAGAUGCAGUGUACCCGCGGCAAGACGGAAAGACCCCGUGAACCUUUACUAUAGCUUGACACUGAACAUUGAGCCUUGAUGUGUAGGAUAGGUGGGAGGCUUUGAAGUGUGGACGCCAGUCUGCAUGGAGCCGACCUUGAAAUACCACCCUUUAAUGUUUGAUGUUCUAACGUUGACCCGUGAUCCGGGUUGCGGACAGUGUCUGGUGGGUAGUUUGACUGGGGCGGUCUCCUCCUAAAGAGUAACGGAGGAGCACGAAGGUUGGCUAAUCCUGGUCGGACAUCAGGAGGUUAGUGCAAUGGCAUAAGCCAGCUUGACUGCGAGCGUGACGGCGCGAGCAGGUGCGAAAGCAGGUCAUAGUGAUCCGGUGGUUCUGAAUGGAAGGGCCAUCGCUCAACGGAUAAAAGGUACUCCGGGGAUAACAGGCUGAUACCGCCCAAGAGUUCAUAUCGACGGCGGUGUUUGGCACCUCGAUGUCGGCUCAUCACAUCCUGGGGCUGAAGUAGGUCCCAAGGGUAUGGCUGUUCGCCAUUUAAAGUGGUACGCGAGCUGGGUUUAGAACGUCGUGAGACAGUUCGGUCCCUAUCUGCCGUGGGCGCUGGAGAACUGAGGGGGGCUGCUCCUAGUACGAGAGGACCGGAGUGGACGCAUCACUGGUGUUCGGGUUGUCAUGCCAAUGGCACUGCCCGGUAGCUAAAUGCGGAAGAGAUAAGUGCUGAAAGCAUCUAAGCACGAAACUUGCCCCGAGAUGAGUUCUCCCUGACUCCUUGAGAGUCCUGAAGGAACGUUGAAGACGACGACGUUGAUAGGCCGGGUGUGUAAGCGCAGCGAUGCGUUGAGCUAACCGGUACUAAUGAACCGUGAGGCUUAACCUU